AGGACAUUUUGCCAAAUGCAGUAGUGCCUAACUGUUUACAGAGACCAGGGUGGCUGACGGGGAAGGUGACGGCAACUGACACCAGAGGAUGAUACGAGGAAGUCCAGGGGAGAGAGAAGUCUACAGGUCAGAGUCCAAAGCCAGGGAAGUCAAGGAUCGAGGGAGGCAGUCAGAGUCCAGAGGGAGAUCCGGGGAUAAGUGAGACGCACAGCUCACUUUCAAGGUGAAGGAGGGCAGGUGUGCUGAUUGCUGGUGAAUGAUUACAGCUGGCAGCUGCAGCAGGACGGAGACGCGCACGGCGCGUCUCUGGAUGUGCGCGGCCGUGGGCGUGUCCCAAGGUGUGACACACAGAGCGCAAUGAUGAGGACGCAUUCCAAUGCGCCCUGGCCGUGACAACAUUCUAGACAUAUUGCUUCUGAUGUUGUGGGAAAACAUGUUCAAUACUUAGGACUAAAUACCAUCUUACCUGAAUCUUUCCUCUCCGCCUGGGGUGAAGCUUUACCCAGCUACAACUAACCACCUGUAUUGGCACUAUACUACUAAAUGUAUCUGUUUUUUCUUCUGGCAAGCAUACUUUUGGCAGGUCUAAAUGUAAUCCCUAUAUUCUCUUCAAAUGUCUGGUGGGAAAAAAAGCAAUGUAAUGAAAAUAUCGUAACAUCUGCCAUCCUCAGAGUGUGACAGAAUCAGGUUGAGAAGACAAAGGGAAUAAAGCAAUGUCUUUUUAGUAGGGUUCAGUAGGCUUUCAUAACACAGAAUCAUAUGUGCAGGCCUGAUGCUAAACCCAUUAGAUAUAUUACUACAUCCCCUGGAAAGAUAAUGAGAUUACCAUUCUUUUGUUAUUUAUUUCAAAUUUUUUACAAAAAAUGAAAAAAACAUGCUGUCCAGUUGAUAAUUUUUUGGCCCCAUAAUGCAUAAAGCAAA